AACCCUUUACCCAAAAACAAAAAAAACAAAAAAAAAAUCCUAUUUUUAGCAUUCUUGGAGAACCAUUCGAGCAGUCAAUAGAUUCUCCAUCAAGCCUCAUCCACUCCCCUGGUUGUUCAGUCCCCAAUUGUGAUCCUUGGUAAACUCUUCACCUCCUUAAUCGUUCCUUCUUAGAUUAGAAAAACUAGGGUUCAUGCGUGUUUGUACAAUGACAGCGGAAAACUCAACCGCUGCCAGAACCAAUCCGCUCCACGUUCUGCUUCUACACUCCCUUAUAUUCCACUGUGUAAUCCCCAUCUCCUCUUUAAUUCUAAUCGCCUUGACUUAGAUAACCCUAACCAUCACCACCUAUGAUUGUACGGCAAUCAUCGCACAACCACCACCACAACGACAAGAAUGGAUCGACAACCGUCACACCACCACUCCCUCAACAGCCGCAUCAGCGUCGAACUUCCGACACUCUAUUGUAGUCUCAUAUCUCUCUGAGAUCAUAUUCAAUUGGAAGGUUCUAAUCGGGGAUUGUUCUCGGAUGUAAUCGUGAAGGCUGUAGGCGAUACGUAUCAUCUUCACCGUUUGAUUCUCUCUCGUAACUCACAUUUUAGUGUGUUUGUCCAGAGUUAUUUUCCGAAGAUCAUUGGUAUUAUCGUACUAAAAUCGAGAUUUGUGGAAGUUAUUUUGUGGUUUCUCAUGGCUGGAAUGUCUGGUAAUUUCGCAUGUCUUGCUAAUACCUCUAUUUAUUGUUCUUGAGAAUAAUUACUAUUUAGAUUUGAUUCACUCGAUGUGGUUUAGUUUUGUUAUGAAAGUUUCUGAAACUAGCAAUUGAGUGAUUUGCUAGUAGGAAUUAUGGUUUAUGUUUGCUUAAAGUUAACGAUUGACUUGAUUGGAGCAUUUGUUAUGGCUCUGUGAAGAAUUUAGCUGAUACAAAGCUUUGAUUCGGAUAGUAUGUUGCACCUACCGAUGACGAUUAAAACUAUUUAAAGGAAAUUGUUGAUGGCAAUGGGAAAGCUGCAAAAGGUGGAAGAAGAGGACAAAAAAUGGAGGAUCGAAUGGUUCUGUUAUGGUGGUGUUGGUCUUAAAGAGCAAUCAAAAGAAAAUGGUAUUUUAGCAAUUUCAGCGGGAUACAAAAGCUUGGAAAGGGAAAAUAAAUUAGUCGGCUUUUUUCUGGUAUUAUAGAAGUAACUAGAGAUAUCAGUUAACCUGUAUUUUGUGCUUUUUAGGGUUUAAAUUGAUGUUUUGCACUACAUUUUGGUCAUUAGUAAUAAACUGCUUACUUGACCCUUAGUUUGAGCAUAGAGUUCCUCAUCCUUGCAUAAAACUGAAACAUUGUCAUGAAUGAGAGUUGUAUACACUUGUAGCUUAGAGGAGCUUCUUUUGGUUAUACUUAUUGGUUAUAUUAUUGUUUUAAGGUUGUAUUAUUGGUUCUUAAAUUGUGAUGUUUAAUAGGAGUAAACACUAAACAACUCUGAUGUGGGUUAUUGUAGGCAACAUCUUGCUGAGCUACAAUUGUAAUAAAUUAGUUGUUUUGACUUGAAAAAUCAAUUCCAUAUUUCAAUUCAUGUGGGUUUAGUCUAGCUAUUUCAAAAGAUGUGAUUUUGGUUUUCUAAACAUUGACGUAACCCGUCCACCGGAUAGGUAUUAAACUAGUUAAUCAGGUUGUGAAUUAUUGUGUUUUUUAGUUUGAUUUAAUUGCGAAAUUGGUUUAUAAUCUUGGAACGAUUUUUAUAAGCUAUUAUUUAAAUAUUUUAUUAUUUAUGCAUCGAGUACAUGUAAUUAAAUUUUGAUGUAAUUUCAACUGUAUCGCAUUGAGUAUUUCAUUAUUUAACUGUUUUAUGGGCUUGAUUAUAGGUUCAGUCUUAUUGUUAUCGUUGCAUAUGUUUUUGUAUUUGGUCUUGGUUUAUUUGGAUGGGGUCUUCUAAGCUUGGCAACUGUGUGGAGAUAGGCCACAAUGAACAUCAUAUUGGUUCUUCUAAUCUUUAGAUUGUUAAUUAUUGCCUGGUCGAUUACUUAUGCCGAUUUCAGUUGUGGCUUCUCCGCUUUGUAAGGUAAACAACUGGCUUCUCUAGAAGUUGUAACUAUAAUAAUCAAUUUUGAAAUAUUCAUUCUACUUCAGUUA